CCUACGGGAGGCAGCAGUAGGGAAUAUUGCUCAAUGGGGGAAACCCUGAAGCAGCAACGCCGCGUGGAGGAUGAAGGUUUUCGGAUUGUAAACUCCUUUUGUUAGAGAAGAUAAUGACGGUAUCUAACGAAUAAGCACCGGCUAACUCCGUGCCAGCAGCCGCGGUAAUACGGAGGGUGCAAGCGUUACUCGGAAUCACUGGGCGUAAGGAGCGCGUAGGCGGGAUAGCAAGUCAGAUGUGAAAUCCUAUGGCUUAACCAUAGAACUGCAAUUGAAACUGUUAUUCUAGAGUAUGGGAGAGGUAGGUGGAAUUCUUGGUGUAGGGGUAAAAUCCGUAGAGAGCAAGAGGAAUACUCAUUGCGAAGGCGACCUGCUAGAACAUAACUGACGCUGAUGCGCGAAAGCGUGGGGAGCAAACAGGAUUAGAUACCCCUGUAGUC
rnacentral:rRNA from 1 species